GAUGAAGAACGCAGCGAAAUGCGAUAAGUAAUGUGAAUUGCAGAAUUCAGUGAAUCAUCGAAUCUUUGAACGCACAUUGCGCCCGCCAGUAUUCUGGCGGGCAUGCCUGUUCGAGCGUCAUUUCAACCAUCAAGCCCCAGGCUUGUGUUGGGGACCUGCGGCUGCCGCAGGCCCUGAAAACCAGUGGCGGGCUCGCUGUCACACCGGGCGUAGUAGAUUUUAUCUCGCUCAGGGCGUGCUGCGGGUUCCGGCCGUUAAAAAGCCUUUUUUACCCAAGGUUGACCUCGGAUCAGGUAGGAAGACCCGCUGAACUUAAGCAUAUCAUAAGGGAGGA
rnacentral:misc_RNA from 1 species